rnacentral:piRNA from 1 species
GUUUUGUACCCGUUGGAGAAGUG